UACAGAGGGUGCGAGCGUUAAUCGGAGUUACUGGGCGUAAAGGGCGCGUAGGCGGUCUUAUAAGAUUGAUGGUGAAAUUCCUGGGCUUAACCUAGGAACUGCAUCGAUGACUGUAGGGCGUGGAGUAAUUGUAGAGGGUAGUGGAAUUUCCGGUGUAGCGGUGAAAUGCGUAGAGAUCGGAAGGAACACCAGUGGCGAAGGCGGCUACCUGGACAAAGUACUGACGGCUGAGGUGCGAGAGCGUGGGGAGCAAACAGG
rnacentral:rRNA from 1 species